rnacentral:rRNA from 1 species
UAGGGAAUCUUCGGCAAUGGACGAAAGUCUGACCGAGCAACGCCGCGUGAGUGAAGAAGGUUUUCGGAUCGUAAAACUCUGUUGUUAGAGAAGAACAAGGACGUUAGUAACUGAACGUCCCCUGACGGUAUCUAACCAGAAAGCCACGGCUAACUACGUGCCAGCAGCCGCGGUAAUACGUAGGUGGCAAGCGUUGUCCGGAUUUAUUGGGCGUAAAGCUAGCGCAGGCGGUUUCUUAAGUCUGAUGUGAAAGCCCCCGGCUCAACCGGGGAGGGUCAUUGGAAACUGGGAGACUUGAGUGCAGAAGAGGAGAGUGGAAUUCCAUGUGUAGCGGUAAAAUGCGUAGAUAUAUGGAGGAACACCAGUAGCGGAGGCGGCUCUCUGGUCUGUAACUGACGCUGAGGCUCGAAAGCGUGGGGAGCAAACAGG